GUAAUUUAAUCGAACAUAAGUACAGUUAUAUUAUUAUUUCUUACUUACUUAUUAUAAAAUGUGCAGAAGACGCCAAUUAAUAAUAAAUAACGCUUAUGAUUUUAUAACUACACUUUCAACGUUUCCAAGAAGAAAACUUUUGGAAGUCCAUGUUGGACCACUUUAAGAAUGUUUUUAAGUCACCUGCUACAUGCGCUCUUUUGGACAUCAUUUUUUAGUUUUAUUUAAAUACUCUGUACAAAGUUAUCAAAAAGAACACAUUCAGAGAACUUACAUAGAUAACAUUUUAAAGAUAAGUUAUAGAGUUCUCUAAAAAUUUGUCUAUAAUAAGUUAACUAUGGAGUUCUCUAAAAGUUGUCAAUAUGAUAACAAUUUUAAUACCGAAUGAGUCCAGACGUCAAUUGCUGACAAAUUGAAAGCUUUCAGACAACUUUAAAGAUAACCUUAAAAAGAUACGAUGUAGAGAUCUCUAAAAGUUCGCUGGUGCUUAUUGGGUCGUUUAUUUGAAUACGAAAUCCUAAUUUAUUAAAAUACAGCAUCAACUAUUAGGUAAAUUAUUUAUUUAGUUCAAAUGUUCUGAAUUUAUAACCUACAAAGCGUUUAUUGAAAUAUAAAGAUUUGAAAAAUAUCUUCUUAAUGAUUCAGUCCGAACAAAUCAUUUCUUCUUUCAGCAAAAUCUUUGAUAGUUCUUAUAAAAUAUUAUCUUAUUUGACGUCUAUAUUAUUUCCUUAUAUCACUUGAAGAAAAAAAUAUUUUCAACAAUAAUUUACUUAUAGGUAAAAAAAACACAAAUUCAAAUAAUAAUUUUUAUAGCACUGGGUGACUUAAAUGCGGAUUUAAGGCAUGCAAAUCCAUGGCGUAAGUAGCUCUUUCUGGAACUGUCUACGCUCGUGCGCUAACCUCCCGCUGCCAGAAAGGGCUACUUACGCCACGAAUUGCGUGACUUGGCAGAUUUAAUCAAGCAGUGCUAUAAAAUAUUGUACGAUACUCGAGUCGUAUGUUCACUUUCCAGCACGGCGUAACCUCGCCGUGCCAGAAUGUGCCUCAUACGACGCGACACUUGUAUCGUAAUGUACUAUGGGUAACUGAAACUAAAGAAAUCGCUUCCGCGCAUACAAAAGUUAUAUGAAAUAUGACUAUUUCAUUUUUUUCAGCGUCAUUGGUGCAACGAUUAAAUCAAAUUUGGGAUGCAAGGUAAUGUCAUUUUUCCGCUCAUUGGAUAGCUAUAUUGUUGAGAUCAUUUAUUACUUAUUUAAUUCAUAAUUAACUAUACAUACUUGAUAAUUAUAUAGCUAAUUUCGAUAAUAUUAAUAAAAAGUUCAUACAAUAAGUUUUCCGGGUUUCGCCGCGAAAUCAAAAAUGAUAUUUUCGCAUGACGCAUUCAAACGCGGCUCGGUUCCCGCCGUCCCGCCGCUGCGCGCGGAGAGAGCGGCGGCGGCCAUGUCGUCUGCUCACACCCUCCCCUGACUCUACACCAAGCAAAUUUCUUUUUCAUUAAUUAUUUCGGAACUUUGCGCUCAUCGGAAUUGAUUAAAAAAUCGUUUCCAAUGCAAAAUUUAACGCUUUUUUCAUUGAUGCUAGCCAUUUUCUCAUAGAAUCAUCGAAACGAAAAGGCCCUGGGCACCAUGAGGAGCUUGGCAGGAUGCCACACGAACUAGUGCAUUUCAGCCUUACAAGCCUCCUACGCUGUUGACAAAUUUACAAAGACGUAACACUCAAACUAAAAUUCUUUACCUUAUGGAGGUGGAGAUGUGACUUUUUAUACAUUAACGGAUCAGGGUGAACUUACAGCUGACAAUAUUCAUGCAGCAACUGUAGAUACACCGGAUGAAAAUGGUCUUACUGGACUUAUGUGGGCAGCUGGUUAUGGCCAAUUAAAUAGUGCAACACUUCUACUAAAGAAUGGGGCAGAUAAAAACUACAAAGGAUCUCAUGGUCAAUCGCAUUUGCAUCUAGCUGCAGCUUAUGGACAUCAUGAUGUUGUAAAAUUGCUCUUGAAUUAUGGUGCUGAUUCUAAUACAAGUAAAGAUGAGGGAAACACACCUUUGAUUUAUGGAGCGCAAGGUGAUCAUCCACAUGUUUGUUAUGAACUUUUGACAAGAGGUGCGGAUAUAACAAUGACUAAUGCCAAUGGACUUAAUGCUUACAAAGCCGCUAUACUCAAAAAUACAUCAACAGCUAAAGCAGUAUUUGAAAAUUUUCUUGUACAAAAAAUUGUAAACUUAUCAUCAGAGAUAUUUUAGUAAUAAAUAAUGUAAAUACAUAUAGUAAUAUCUUUCGACAAUUGAACCAAUAUAUGGAUAGCUUUGGAUAUGAAUGUUAAUACUCCAAGAUGCAAAACAAAUAUUUUGUUGAUAUUGUCUUAUCACUGUCCUUAUUUAAUAUUCUAGUCAACUUUCAACAUCAUGUAGUUGGAACUUCUUGUGACGGUUUUGAAGGAUUAUGAUAGACUAGCCAUAUGGCCUCUUGUAAUGCUCUCAAACAAGCAAUAUUGGCUCCAAAUCCACCAGCCUUUUCUACUUCAGUCUCUUUUCUAACAUUAAAAAUAUAGCCCCGUGUCUGCACCUCUCUUAAUCCUGGAGGAGUUGGUCCUUCGAUUUCUUGAGUGAUAGGAACAUACUGAUAAGUGGGACCCUCAUCCAUUUUAGGUAAUUGAACAAAACCUGUACUAUUCUGUUGUCCAAACUUAAUGCCUGUACUGAAGCUAGUUGCCUUAUUAGGUGCUAGAUUAAAAUAUAGUUGUGAACAUUUUUUUGUCCUUACGCUGUAACUUUUGAAUAUCAAUUUCUGUAAAAAUUAGUAAAGCUAGAUUCAACUGUAAUUAUCUUUUACUUUAUGGGUUGUUCUUUUUGGCAACAUAUAUUUCAAACAAAAAAUAAGUUAAUUAAUUAAAUAAAAUAAGUAGUACAAUGUUUUUGAACAAAUAUUUUUUAUUGUGUAUAUAUAGUAUAAUUAAUAAUUUUAUAAUAAGGGUACAGAUAAAACUGGAGGUCUUAGAGUUUUAAGAAUUUUUACAAUUUUAACUUUUCCAGACAUAUGAGCCAUAAUGUGCUUUUCCAAAUAUUUUUUGUUAACGUAUGUUCUCUUACAAUAAUUACAUGUGUAAACAUUUUUAGGAUGUUGUGAGUUUACAUGUUUUCCAAAACAUCUUUUCUAACAAAAGUUUUAUUACAGAUAUGACAUGUAAAGUUACAUAGAUCAGUAUGUGUCAAUCUAUGAGUUUGUAGAUGUUGAUUUUGGGAGAACUUCUUAUUACACUCAUUACAACUGUAAUUUUUCAAACCUUUAUGUAUACUUUGAUGUACUUUUAAUUGCCCAUUUGUUUUGAAACUUUUUUCGCAUAUUAAGCAUUUAAAAGCUUUCACAGUAUCAUGGAUCUUGAUAUGCACAUUUAAAUUUCCCAUUUGAGUAAAACUUUUUUUACAUAUAGUGCAUAUAUGUGGUUUAUUUUUUGAGUGUAUUCUUUCAUGUAUUAUUAAAUCUCUCUUUCUUUUAAAAGUUUUUUCACAAGAAACACAUGUGUACAGAACAUUUUCAGAAUUUUAUCGUUUUCCAUAUUUAAACAAUAUUCUUCAUGCAGGUUACUUGAUUUUCAAAAUAAAAAUUUUAUUUAAAUCUGUUCCAGAUUGAUUCGUGUAUCAUACUGCCUACAAAGUUAAUUAUAUUUUAGGGUUAGGGUUAUACUUAUUUCGUACAAAUUAUUAUUCUAUUUUAUUAAUAUACGUGACUUACCUUUAUUUUACAACGUCUAACAUUUGUUAAAAAAUGUUAUAAAUUUUUUAGAGCUACAUAAAUAGCCGUAUAGUUGAAGAAAUAUAUGAGAAAGCAAUCCCGUGCGCCGUUGAUGACAGAAACUUAUGGGAAAGCAAUCCCGCGCGCGGCUCACGACAGAAAUUUAUGAGAAAGCAAUCCAUGCGCGAUUUGGAUGCGCAGUUGCAUUUUUUUGGACUCGCAUAUGUAACCGCGUAUAAAGAAGUAUACGUGACGUAUCUGAGCGUGAGAACAACAAACAAUCAACGUGUUUAUGUUGAUAACAAAAAAGCUUGUAGAGUAUACAUGGUUUGGAGUUAACAGCUUAUUAAGGAAGAAUAAAAGAUUUUCAAGAGUACAUAGCUUACAUGGCUUGGAGCCAAUAACUUUAAUAAGGGAGAGAGAAAAGAGCACCUGGCAAAUAACAUGCAACUUCAUUUUUACUUUCUACAACAUUCCACCUGUUGAUUUCCAAUUAUUCGGUGCAAGUCAACGUUCAUUUUAGCAAAAACAGCUAAAAUUUGGAUUGAAGAAUAACGGUACUCUCUAUGUCCUACAAAAUACAAAAUUGUAAGGUUUUCUGUCUUUGAAUAAAGCUAAUGACUAUAAUAUUAAUGAAGUGUGAUAUUUAACAUCCUAAGUAAUUAUAACUGAUUAUUGCAGUUUAGUGAAAUUUGUUAUUAUGACUGAUCAUAGUAUUACUGAACUUUGAUAAAAUUACUGUAAUAAUUGUCACAAUGUAACAAUAAAAUAAAUAAUUUCAAUUUUU